rnacentral:rRNA from 1 species
AAAUGGAAUGAUGGUGACCUAAACCCUCACCAGAGUAACAAUUGGAGGGCAAGUCUGGUGCCAGCAGCCGCGGUAAUUCCAGCUCCAAUAGCGUAUAUUAAACUUGUUGCAGUUAAAAAGCUCGUAGUUGAAUUUCUGCGUUAUCGAGUUAUUGACUCUUGUCUUUAAUCGAUUUCGCUUUUGGGAUUUAUCCCUUUUUACUUUGAGAAAAUUAGAGUGUUUCAAGCAGACUUUUGUCUUGAAUACUUCAGCAUGGAAUAAUAGAGUAGGACUUUGGUUCUAUUUUGUUGGUUUUUGAACCUUAGUAAUGGUUAAUAGGAACGGUUGGGGGCAUUCGUAUUUAACUGUCAGAGGUGAAAUUCUUAGAUUUGUUAAAGACGAACUACUGCGAAAGCAUUUGCCAAGGACGUUUCCAUUAAUCAAGAACGAAAGUUAGGGGAUCGAAGACGAUCAGAUACCGUCGUAGUCCUAACAAUAAAC